UUUUGGACAAUGGGCGCAAGCCUGAUCCAGCCAUUCCGCGUGAGUGAAGAAGGCCUUCGGGUUGUAAAGCUCUUUCGCAAGGGAAGAAAACUUACUUUUUAAUAAAGAGUGAGGUUGACGGUACCUUGAUAAGAAGCACCGGCUAACUACGUGCCAGCAGCCGCGGUAAUACGUAGGGUGCGAGCGUUAAUCGGAAUUACUGGGCGUAAAGCGUGCGCAGGCGGCUUUGUAAGUCAGAUGUGAAAUCCCCGAGCUCAACUUGGGAACUGCGUUUGAAACUACAAGGCUAGAAUAUGUCAGAGGGGGGUAGAAUUCCACGUGUAGCAGUGAAAUGCGUAGAGAUGUGGAGGAAUACCAAUGGCGAAGGCAGCCCCCUGGGAGUAAUAUUGACGCUCAUGCACGAA
rnacentral:rRNA from 1 species